UUCUCUUAAUUCCUACAAAUCUUGCCCAUCGUAAAUAUUGUACAUCCUUCUAGGCUAGUAUUUUUUAACCUUGGCAACUUUUAAGGACUUCAACUCCCAGAAUUCCCCAGCCAACAUGGCUUAAAAGUGUGAACUGACUCCCAGAAUUCCCACGCUGCCUUGGGAAUUGCAGGAGUCAAAAAUCCAUUAAUCUUAAAAAGUUGCAGAGGUUUGAGAAGCACUGAUGGAAAAGCCUGAAAUAAUUACCAAGUCUGUUUCCCAGAAUGCCCUGCCGCAACAUGAUUUUGCUGGCUUGGGAAUUCUAAGAAUUGAAGUCUAUAUCACAUCCUAAAGAUUGAAAAACACUGAUUUAAAAUAUUCCAGGUAAGACUGGAGAGGACAAUUAAAGAGGGGUUUGUGAUGCUUUUAUUGUACAGUUUGCUCUAUAUACAGAGUAAGAUGGGCCAAGCACAGUAAAAUACUGAAUUUUGUAGUAUAUUCUCUGCAAAGAGCAAUUUGUUGAAAUCAGCAAGGACCUCUCUAUAUUUCUAUCUCUAUGGCUUCCUCCGAGAGAGGCACCACGGAAGAACUGCGCCUGCGCCGCUGCUUCAGCAGGACAGCCGCUCUGCCCGCUUGCAACUCUUUGAUGCAAAAAAACUCGAUGAUUUCCCGUUUUUAAAAGAACGAGAGCGCGAAAAGAAAAGAAACCGAAGGGGGGAAAAAAGCCGCCGGCGGCCUUCGAAAAAUGCCGAAACCGCCGCAGGAAGGCCCGAAUCCUUUAAUUACGCGAUGGUUGGAGGAAUGGCGCGACCAGGCCGCGGAAAACGGACGCCUCAAGAGCCAACGCGCCUAUGAACGCGCCCUGAGCUCCCUCCGCAAGUAUCCCCUUCCUCUGCACAGUGGCCACGAGGCUCGGAUCCUUAUGUAUUUCGGGGAGAAGAUCUGCCGUCAGCUGGAUGAAGAGCUGGAGAGACACCGCAGCAGCCAGGAUGGUACAGCAUCAGCCGAUAUGGAAGGAGAGAGGCCUGUGAACCAUACAGGUGGGCCAAUCCCAACAUCUUGCAAAAGUUGUGAAGACGUUGACGAGCCAACUGACAGCGAUAGGCCGAUGCUACAACCUGCCCUGUCGUCUCUAGAGCCAGUCCAACGUCAAGAGCAACACUCAAAGAAAAAGCAGAGCGUUCCACGAUAUCGAACCCGGGGUUACGUGCCGACUCGGCGAUCUCCCGCUUACGCAGUACUGUUGGCACUCUAUCACAACGCCGCGAAACCUGAGUCCCGGGGCUAUCUGACCAAACCAGAACUGCAGAAAACUGCUCAGCCUCUCUGCGAUAAAUCCUUUUUUCUGGCUGAUCCUGGAAGUAAGAACACCGCCUGGUCUGCUGUCAGCACUCUGAUUCGCAAGGAACUAGUCCUCAAGACUAAUAUUCCAGCCAGAUAUUCUCUGACCGAAGCAGGCCUGAAUGUAGCUCGGGAGCUGCAGGCCUCCGGGAAGCAGAACAAUUCCCGCACCCCAAAAGCCACAGCACCCCAAACUGGAGGAACCGUUGCGCUUUUGGAGGAAAACGAUGGAAGCUCCUUGGGCUCAGAAAAUGCAGACAGCAGCCCCACCAGCAAAUACAGCUGCGAAGGGCCUAACUCGGGGCUGUCAACACCCCAGUUCGUUCUGCAACCUGGACAGUUUGAGGUGAUCCUGUGCGUGGAUUUCAUCGAGACCAUAGGCGGCCCCGCAUCCCGUAAACAGGAGCUGGUGCGCGAACUUCAACGUCACAACGUCCCGUUUAGCAUCCGGAAACUCCACGUCGGUGAUUUCCUCUGGGUGGCCAGAGAGAGGGGUCCCCAUGGGGCAGAACUGUUGCCACCAACCACGGUUCGUGAGUUGGUUUUAGACUACGUGGUGGAACGGAAACGGAUGCCGGAUUUAUGUGGUAGCAUCAUUGACGGUCGCUUCCGGGAACAAAAGUUCCGCCUGCGACAGUGUGGUCUUUCCCACCCCAUCUACCUGGUAGAAGACGUGAAUUCCGCGCAACAUCUCAGUCUUCCUGAAAAGACUCUCCAACAAGCCAUUAUCAAUACUCAGGUGAUCGAUGGCUUCUUUGUCAAACGUACCAGUGACAUUCGGGAAUCUGCUGCAUACCUGACCAUCAUGACCCGUCAUUUGACCAGACAGUAUGGGGACAAAAUGCUUUUGAGCUGUACCAAGCAAGAAUUGGAGGAUGAGCGCCCUCUGCAGCCCAGGGAGGGUACCUGCAGGCUUCUGACAUUUGCUGAGUUUAACGAAGGAGCUAUAAAAAACAAGGCACAGACGGUGUACGAAGUCUUUGCAAGGCAACUGAUGCAGGUCAGCGGCCUCAGUGGAGAAAAGGCGGCUGCCAUUUUGGAGAAAUACAAAACGCCCGCUAGGUAUGAAGACGGGGGAAGGUGGUUAGUUUUGUUAACCUGGAUUUCGCAUAAUGUGGGAACGAAACUAAAAUCUGUGGUUUUCCCUACCCUUGCAGGGAACAGCGAAAACAGCUUAGCUGUUCACGGUGUAUUAUUAUUUUUUUGGGGUCAGAUUCCAUUCUUCACCUCUCCAGAAUUAAAAUUUGGCUGAUGGUAAAAAGUCAUUUUCUGAUGGUGACCUUAGCAACUUUAAGAUGGAUGGACCUCAACUCCCAGAAUUCCCCAGCCAGCGUGCUUUAAGAUGGGUGGACUUCAAAUCCCAGAAUUCCCCAGCCAGCAUGCUUUUAAGAUGGGUGGACUUCAAAUCCCAGAAUUCCCCAGCCAGCAUGCUUUUAAGAUGGGUGGACUUCCACUCCCAGAAUUCCCCAGCCAGCUUGAUUUAAGAUGGGUGGACUUCCACUCCCAGAAUUCCCCAGCCAGCUUGAUUUAAGAUGGGUGGACUUUAACUCCCAGAAUUCCCCAGCCAGCGUGCUUUAAGAUGGGUGGACUUCCACUCCCAGAAUUCCCCAGCCAGCAUGCUUUAAGAUGGGUGGACUUCAAUUCCCAGAAUCCCCCAGCCAGCAUGCUUUAAGAUGGGUGGACUUCAACUCCCAGAAUUCCCCAGUUAGCCUGCUUUAAGAUUAGGUAGACUUCAACUCCUAGAAUUCUUCAGCUGGCCAAUUCAAAAUGACUAAUCCCCACCCCUCAAUACAGUAUAACCCUGGCUAACUAACUAAAUACGUGUGGAUGUCAACAUUGUGUUAGUUUAACCAACUUUCCCCUUAGAAUUGUAGUUCCAUUGUACAUUUUUGUGUUCCGUUUUUUAAAAUUCAUUCUAGAGAAUGAAUAAUAGAAUAAUAGAACAUAAAUAGAAUAUGGUAUUAGCAAUAGCAUCCUGUGUUAUUGCUUUAUUUAUUCUGGGAGUUGGAGUCCACCCAAGUCUUAAAAGUUGCUAAGGUUGGAGACCCCUGCACCAGCGGAGUGGUGCGGUGGCCUCGAGGUGGAGCUCUCGCCUCACAAUCAGGAGGCUGCGAGUUCGAUCCUAGGUAGAAGCAGAUAUUUCUCUCUCUUGGGCUCAGUGAGAAUAUAUCUGCUGAACAAAACUCCGCAUUGGCAACCAGGAAGGGCAUCCGGCCAGUAAAACAUACCGCUAGCUCCAUUCAGUUGCCCAGACUCUACCCCCGCAAGGGAUUAUGGGGUCAUUAAAAGAUGAUGAUGUUGAAGAUCUUCUAGCUACCCAGGCUGAGAAACACUGUUUUAGAGGCUGGUUGCCGGCGGAGCAGACCAUGUUGUAACCUGGUUUAAAGCAGCAUUCUACAUGGUGAAGUGAAAGAUUCACAUGUAUGAUGAAACGUGGAUUUUUUUUCCCCUUGGCAUGUCGAUGUUGGUGGUGGGGGCUUGAUGACCUUCCCUGGUGUUCUUCUUCAUUCUCAGCCUGAUGGGGGCUUACGCCGCGUGUCCGGAUGCGGAAAGCCAGGAGCAUCUUCUGAGUAGCAUCAAGUGUGGCCAGCUGCAGAGAAAUCUGGGUCCUUCGCUUAGCAAGACCUUGGCUCAAUUGUACUGCACCCCUGGGCCGCUGCCUU